rnacentral:rRNA from 1 species
CGGACGGGUGAGUAAUGUCUGGGAAACUGCCCGAUGGAGGGGGAUAACUACUGGAAACGGUAGCUAAUACCGCAUAACGUCUUCGGACCAAAGUGGGGGACCUUCGGGCCUCACACCAUCGGAUGUGCCCAGAUGGGAUUAGCUAGUAGGUGGGGUAACGGCUCACCUAGGCGACGAUCCCUAGCUGGUCUGAGAGGAUGACCAGCCACACUGGAACUGAGACACGGUCCAGACUCCUACGGGAGGCAGCAGUGGGGAAUAUUGCACAAUGGGCGCAAGCCUGAUGCAGCCAUGCCGCGUGUAUGAAGAAGGCCUUCGGGUUGUAAAGUACUUUCAGUGGGGAGGAAGGC